rnacentral:rRNA from 1 species
AACGAACGCUGGCGGCGUGGCUAAGACAUGCAAGUCGAACGAUACGUUGUAGCAAUAUAGCGUAGAGUGGCGAACGGGUGAGUAAUACAUGGGUAACGUGCCUCGAUCUCAGGGAUAGCGUCGAGCCCCGCAAGGGGCUCUUUGCGAAAGUGACGGUAAUACCUGAUGACGCCCACGGAGGGCAUCCUCUGUGGCUCAAAGGCGGGGACCGCAAGGCCUGUCGGAUUGAGAUCGGCCCAUGACCUAUCAGCUAGUUGGUGAGGUAAUGGCUCACCAAGGCUGCGACGGGUAGCCGGACUGAGAGGUUGGCCGGCCACAUCGGGACUGAGACACUGCCCGGACACCUAUGGGUGGCUGCAGUAACGAAUCUUCCGCAAU